AUAGAAGCAAAGUAUCUCAUUGGUCUUUGAUUACAGCUUAAUUUAUGUGUUUCAGUCUGUGCCUGUUAAGCAAGACCCAGAUGCAGUACAUCCUGCACCGUAUGCCUAAAUGUGUAAUCAUCACAUUGAAGAAGCCUCAGUGAGAGUCGGCCUUUUGGAAAAAUGUUCAGGUUGAAGAGAAUGAGGAGGACUUGGGACAACUGAGGACUGGGCAGACAGACAGAUAAAAGGAAAAGGAGCUGGGGCAAAGCGCAAUGUUGCAGAGUAUGUCUUGAGGAGAGUGUUGAAGGAGGAGGUCGUGGCCUUCUGGAUCAGUUCAAAGAGAGCGUUCUAUGUGUAAGGAACAGCAUGGAAGAGGGCAUGGAUAUAUUUGUGUGAGAUGCUGACAAAUGGGCAGACUAGGCUGACGUUCUUGGUGGAUCAGAGGAAGCGGGGUGGGAGGGUGUUGCGGUAAAACACAAAAGACCGAACCGGCAGGGAGGAAUAGAUUCAUGAAGGGCUUUGAAGGUGAGGACAAGAAGCUUGAACUUGAUGCAAUAGGUGUCAGGCUUUGGUUGAUUUUUCAGAAAACUUGUGCCCCAUUAAUGAAGCCAUUAAGAAGAGUCUAGCUGAUGUUAUUGUUUUACACUAAACUGAGGAGUCACUCUUCCAACUGUUAGGUUUUUACCUACAGCUUUUGCUGCUGUCUUAGGUGACAAUCCUAAGUAGCUUUAUGUGAGUAAUUAAGAUAGAAAAGAGGUUUUAAAAACUGCAUGUCUUCUGCACCGCAAAACAAAAGGUCCCACACAGCGAAGGUCCCACACAGGGAUAAUUUAUAUCUCAUGUGUGCCAAGGGAGAUCCAGGGCAGAUCCAUACAAUUCAUCAGGAAGAUGAGAGGAAGAGAGAUGUAUGAGGAAUGGGGCCAAUAGGUCUAUGCACUUUACUGAAUUUCUGAUGAUGUGUUAAACCUGGUAAAUUCAAAAAAACCCUUAUAGAUCACACUAUUGAGAAGAAGACUGCAAAGUACUGCUGCUCUAGCAAUAUUGAAAUGUUAAGCUACAAUAAGGCAAAAAUGUUUGGCUUGUUUCAGAUAUUCUCAAUGCCUCUUACAUAGAAAAAGAGAAAAAUGUUGUGACCCAAAUCUGUAAGUAAAUAGCUGC